rnacentral:rRNA from 1 species
UUUUUUUUGGGGACCCCCCCUUUGUGUGGAGCCCCCCGGGACCCCCCCCUUUUGGGGCACCGGGAUUUCCAAGGGAACCUGCGACAACCCGUGGGGGAAGUUCUGGUUUAACUUUUUCUGGAAAACAAAGCGGUCCGGGGAUCGCAUGGUUAUUCGUCCAGCAGCCGGUAGACGGAGAUCAGCUUAUCCGGAAGAUGGCGUAAGGUCCGCAGGUGCAAUUCAAGUCUGCUGUAAAGCGCAGGCUUACUCUGUAAGGCAGUGAAACUGAAUAGCUAGAGUGUGUAAGGGCAGAGGGAAUUCCCAGUGUAGCGGUGAAAUGCGUAGAGAUUGGGAAGAACAUCGGUGGCGAAGGCGCUCUGCUGGACCAUAACUGACACUCACAGGACGAAAGCUAGGGGAGCGAAUGGGAUUAGAUACCCCAGUAGUCCUAGCCGUAAACGAUGGAUACUAGGUGUUGUCUGUAUCGACCCGGACAGUGCCGUAGCUAACGCGUUAAGUAUCCCGCCUGGGGAGUACGCACGCAAGUGUGAAACUCAAAGGAAUUGACGGGGGCCCGCACAAGCGGUGGAGUAUGUGGUUUAAUUCGAUGCAACGCGAAGAACCUUACCAGGACUUGACAUGUCGCGAAUCUGAGUGAAAGCUCGGAGUGCCUUCGGGAGCGCGAACACAGGUGGUGCAUGGCUGUCGUCAGCUCGUGUCGUGAGAUGUUGGGUUAAGUCCCGCAACGAGCGCAACCCUCGUUUUUAGUUGCCAGCAUUCAGUUGGGCACUCUAAAGAGACUGCCGGUGACAAACCGGAGGAAGGUGGGGAUGACGUCAAGUCAGCAUGCCCCUUACGUCCUGGGCUACACACGUACUACAAUGGUAGGGACAGAGGGCAGCCAACUCGCGAGAGUGAGCUAAUCCCGUAAACCCUGCCUCAGUUCAGAUCGCAGGCUGCAACUCGCCUGCGUGAAGGCGGAAUCGCUAGUAAUCGCCGGUCAGCAUACGGCGGUGAAUCCGUUCCCGGGCCUUGUACACACCGCCCGUCACACCAUGGAAGUUGGCCAUGCCCGAAGUCGUUACUCUAACUCGCAAGAGAGGAGGAUGCCGAAGGCAGGGCUGAUGACUGGGGUGAAGUCGUAACAAGGUAGCCGUACCGGAAGGUGCGGCUGGAUCACCUCCUU